AUAAUUACUCAAGAACAUUUGAAGUAAACCAGAAUUCUCCCAGGGGGAGAAUUUUUCUGUACCCACCCUGAAGCAAUCAAACAAAAAAGAUUUUGGAGAAAAGAGAAGGGGAAGAAGAAUGAACAACUGAGAGUUUUUCAGUACUGCUGUGUGCCCUGUGUGAGCUCACUACCAUCUCUAGGAAUUGCAGCAAUGAUAUCCUUAAGGCAUGAAAGUUUAUCCUUUCACCAGAGACUACAAUUAAUAUUUCAAGGCUGAAUUAGAUCUGCUCACCUAAAAUGGAACAGAAGGCCGCAAGGAAAACAUUGUCAGGAGAAGGAAAAAGAUUGUGGAUCCUCAAUUUAUGACAUUCCUGAUUUUUCGGACAACACCAAUUUCACAUAUUAUCAUCUAUUAUGAGUAUAUGUGUCCUAAUCAUUUGAAAAAC
rnacentral:lncRNA from 1 species